rnacentral:lncRNA from 1 species
GAUAUCUAAUUGAUGUGGUGGCUCUAAUCUUGAUCAGGGGCUUCUCCUCCCUUGAAGAACAAUGAAUUAGGGUUGAGAGGCUCUCUCCUCCAGGGGCCAGGGGGUCUGGUUUUAUAGUCCCUUUAAGUGAAUAUGGGCCGUUGGAUCAAACCGACAUAGAUUGUAUGGUUUAGAUUCAUCCUUUAGGUUGGUGGAGAUCUCCCACGAAGCAGAGUCCUGAUUGGACUCAGGGAGAGGGCGGGCGCCCAGGGCAACAGGGCAGGCGCCCUGCCUCUGGCCCCGUUUCGUCUUCGCUUCGGUCUCGUGGCUUCUGGUGUCUUCUAGAUGUAGGAUAAUUGCGCGCCACGUUAAUAUCUCUAUGUAAUCCCGACGUGUGGGCCUUUCUUCCGUAUUUCCUGAUAACCCCCUGCAGAAAUAGACAAACACCAAAACUCGUGGAAUUCUGUCAGAUAAAACCCUAAGUCUAGAUGUUGAUUUCAUUUGGAUCCUUUUCUUUAUUUAUUUAAUAAUUCAAUUUGAUACUUAAGGACCGUCAACAAACUCCCCCAAGCUUACCUCUUGCUGGUCCCUGAGCAAGGAUAGACUCAGCAAUGAAUCAUAAGUUGUUGCAAUAUCUUUUUUUUUUAAAAAAAAUUGACGGUACACAUGCUUUUUAAAUAAGAUCUCAUCUCUGAGUUAGAGUAAACUGUCAAGACUUAAUACUUACUUACUUUACCUUUACCAUGGGACUUGUAACCAUCACUUCUGUCUUGAGUGGUUAAAAGAUAGAACAGUCUAGCCAAGUGCCAUGUCUCUUAUUCUUGAUCAGCUAUAGCUCUGGGGUUUUUGUAGUUUUUCAAAUAAAACUCAGAGAUUCCUUGUAUGAUUCUCUCAAAUCUCUCUUUUGUGGUAUUUCUGGAUCCUUACCAAGGCAGUGAUGGUAUAUGCCUUCUCUCAAGAUAUGUAGUAUUUGUGGUAUAAAGCAUAGUGACAUUGUCUUCUCUCUCACCCUACUCUAAUAAGGCUUUAAUAUCUGGAGCUCAUAGGUGGGAGAUAAAGUAUACAUACUUACAAGGCAUUUAUUGCAUAGUCAAACCAUGGAUCCAAAGAAAUAAGCCAAUAAGUUCAAUCAAGAUGUGCAUGUGUGGCGAAUGAAUGGUGUAUGGUGAUGAUGGUGAUAACAAUGGUGAAAACAAUGGUGGUGGAAGUCUAAUUCUACUUUGCUCUUUUGAGGGGAUACAUACCUUCCUUGCUUUUUGAAUAUUGAGGAGAAUGAGAUGCUCUUUAUUUAUUUAUUUUUUCCUCUCAGGUGGGUAUCUUGUACCCCUAAUUCUACUGUCGGACACUUGUCCAUUUUUACCUCUCGUCUCACUUUUUCUUUUCUUUCGAGGUUCCGAGCACUUGCUCCUUUUUAUUUCCUCGUAUUUUUUUUUUCUCUUUUUUCUUUUUUUCUUUUUUUUAGAGAACUCAUCUCUUAAGAUAAUAUAGCAAGUGGUAGUAACAAUAUAACUUGAGCAUUUAUUUCACAAAGGAAAAAACAGAAAUAUUUUUGGCUAUUCUCUCCCGGAUUAGGAGUAGAAUAUUUUUGGGUGAUUCUGGAGGUGGAAAUGAGUGGAUAUAUGUGGAUGGUACUUCCGGAGUAGAAGUAGCAUAUAUGAGUGAACGUGCAAGUGAAAUCUUGAUUUAACCACAUGACAAGCUCCUAAGGGUCUACACAGCUUGACCACACUGAAUGCUCAUAAGCAGUAAAUAGUAAAUGUGUGGCUCAAAGUCUAGCAAGCAUGUAUAUAUGGCCGUGGUAGGAAUUUAAACUCUCAUCAUACAGGAACUCAUCAUGCAAUUUUUUAAAGAUUUUCAAAGAUAAAAUUCUCCAGAAUUCUAGCAUCUCUAGGAACAGAUAAACAGCAACUCAACCUUCCCAUAUCAUAUCCAUCAACAACUUAGACUUUAGAUCAAGUUUUCAUCCCACAAGUUUAGGUCUAGAGCAAGCUUUAAAUUAUAACAGUUAUAUCUAAACUUGAGAGAGAACUUAAAAUAUGCAAAUUAGGCAGAGCAACUAUUCAUCAUAUCCAUGCUAGAGUUUUAUUUAGAUACAGAUUAGCAUAGCCACUUUAUUUAUUUAUUAAACACACUAAGCAAAAGAUAUAUAUAUAUGUAUAUAAGCAUAAAAUCUUUAUUUGGUUUUUCAUAGUUAUAUAUAUUUAUAUUCUAAUAUAGUAUAAGUAUGAAGAUAGAUAGAUAGAUAGAAAUACUUUUCGAGAUAAAUGGGGGUGCUCUCCCCCAAGCUGAAUUUUGACGUUCUUUCUCUUGAUGUAGCUAGCAGGUGGCAGAGGUGUAUUUGAAAGUCAGCAGCAUUCUGACAGCGAUUAGAAUGUCCUCCGUCUGCUAGUCUUCUUGAUUCUUAGAGCUCAAAUAGACAACAAAGCUUGUGGAACUGAUUAAGUGUUAGCAUAAAUAUCUAGCCUUUAUAAUGUUGAGACUCCUCAAUAAUUAUUACUCCCUGUUUUUAUAUUUUUAUUUUAUAAAGCAGAAAAGUAUUUAUUUUAUUUUUAUGCCACCACAGUGAAUGUACUGAUGGGUUUUAUGCCACUCGUAUACUCACAUGGGGCUUACUGUUUUUCACAUUUUUAUUUUCUUUUUAAGAUAGCACGAACAUGAUUAACUAAAUAAACUAUUUGAAAAUAAUUGAAAGGGAAAGGAUAACUACCAAGUUUACCUCUUGGCAAGGCGUUCGGUGUUUUAAGUCCUCCGAACGGGACUCUCUGUUUUCUUAAUUGUCCUGGAAUUCGUUGGGUGGCGUAGUCGGUACUUCCGGUGGGGCCUCCUCUUCAUGUAUAGUUAUCUUCAUUUUCCAUACCUGACUCGGUGCUUCAAUCUCCUCUGGAUAAGUCUGUUUAAACUCUACGUCUUCUGACCUUACAACUUCUCCUUCGUAGUCUGCCCAUCCGUCCUUGAUGAUCUGCCUCCUCUGGUUGCGGUUGCGUCGCUUUCUUACCUGCUUAGAUUCUUCAACGAUAUAGUUAGGGUCAGUAAAAUAACGGCAUACCUUCUCUGAGGGGAAGUGCAUAUGGACUUUUCCGGUUCCAAUGUAGAUAAUUGCUUUAACAGUGCUGAGGAACGGCCUUCCAAGGAUGAUGGGUGGAUCGUACUCGUCUUCUCCCAUGUCAAUAACCUAAAAGUCUGUGUAGACAAAAUGAUCGUCUAUCUUGACUGGGACAUCAGUUACUAUUCCUUUAACUUCUCGAAAUGUCUGAUCUGCCAUCUAGAGCUGAAUAUAUGUUGAUUGUAGGGGCAUGGUUCCGAACAAGAGUCGAUAGGUGACUGCGGCCAUUAUGUUGACGCCCGAUCCGGUGUCGCAAGUUGUCAUGUAGAAGUUGUAUCCAUUUAUGGAGCAGUAGAUGCUUGGCAUUCCUGGGUCGUCCUUCUUGGUCAAAAACGGUGACUUAAGUUGAUGAUCUUGGCCUCCAUGAACUACAGUGACUCGGUCCACACUUGCUUGUUCCUAUUCCUCCUGUUGGUCCUCUUCCUUGACUCACGUCUGGAUUGAUCUGGAAUUUGUGUAGUCUUGUUCUUGAAGAAAAAUGUCUCCUUCUUCCCUUUGACGUAGAAACUGAUCUUGGCAGCACUGGCGUAGAUGAUAGCUCCCGUGGUGUUCAAGAAUGGCCUCCCUAAGAUGAUAGGUGCUCUCUCAUCAUUUCCGGUCUCUACCACUACGAAGUCUGCUAGGGCAUACAAGGUACCAACUCGGACGCAAAGGUUCUUCAAUAUUCCUUUUGGAAAAGUUAUCGUCUGAUCUGCAAACUGCAAACACAUGGUUGUCUCUAAUAAAGGAUAUGUAAAGAAUUUUUCAUAGAGUACCCUGGGUAUAAUGUUGACGCUAGAGCCAAAGUCACAGAGUGCUUCUGGAACGUCCACCAUGCCGAUGGAGAUCGGGAUGACGGGGCGCCCUGGAUCGCCACUCUUGACCAACAGAAGGUCAGUAUUGAAUUCAGUGACGGGGUUACUCCAAUUAUUACCUGCAUCAAACAUGUCUACAAGAUUUGCAGAUUCUAAUCCUUCUAGUUGUGAUGGUAUACCGGGGUUAGUAGCAGGAACAGCAGCAGCUAUUUGAUUUAACUGAGAUUCAAUCAUUUUAUUGAAGCUAAUUUGAUUCUUGAUGGCAGUAGAGAAAUUAUCCAUUCUAUUAUUUAUAUUUUCUAGCAUUUUAUCAUUAGAUGCCAAUUUCUUAGAUAGGUUAUCCAUUAGCUUUCCUUGAUUAGACACUAACUCUCUCAGAGGUGGAAAAUUAUUAUUAUUAUUGUAAGAAUUGUUACCUUGAUAAUUACCUGAGUACUUAGGCCUCUGUUGAUUCCAACCUUGAUUUUGUUGAGGACGGUUGUUGUAACAGAACCGCCCAAUUUACAAGAGAUCAACUACGAAAAACUCCCGCCAAAGCAGUUGCUUUACCGUAAUCGAACUCUCAUAAACCCGGUAGUCCGUGAAAUCACGAGGGAUUUCAAACCAACCAACAUACCAGCCAAGAUCGUAGUGAUUCAACAUAACAAGUCACAUGUUACAUCCAUUUCACAAAUAGUUUGACAUACAUCUGAGUUCAAUAUAGUUAUUACAACUUAAGUUGAAAAGUAGCGGAAGCAAAGUAAUUUGAAACUAAUAUUGCCCUCAUUUCAAAUACAUGCCAGUAUCCAGGUCAACUCCAGCAAAAGCAACAUAGAUGAGGUAACUAAGAAGGAUCAUGCCCAUGAUCUUACUCCUCUAAUAUGGUAGGAGUCAUCCAACUCUUGCAGUAGCCAUGAUACAUCACAACCUGCAACAAGUGGGAAUAAACCCUGAGUACGAGAAGGUACUCAGCUAGACUUACCCGUCAUAAACCAGAAAUAAUAUGACACCAAGGAGUAUGCAAGGCUUUAUUGGUGGGGCUAGCUUGACAACACUUUUUUGCAUAAAAAGCUUAGGUUACAGGUAAGUAACUUUUCAGGUAUUUAGCUCAAGUUAAUAAUCAUUACCUGUCAUCUAUAUUAGCACCUGUACUAGAGCAAUCACUUGAUUAAGAUACAACAGUAGUAUCCAUAUCAGAGGUAGCAUUUCCAUCAUUAUCAUCAUACCAUAACCAUCCAAGUGUUCCAUAAACAUUACUACGAGGACGUGGCUCAAGUCAAGUGCUCACUAUCCAGGAGCGAUGGCGAUUCGAAUCGAUUUCUAACCAGCUGGCGAGUUAUUCCCCACACAAACCACACUCACCGGCUAAAGUGAGCUACAGGUCACCAUAUUGCACUAUCCAGGACCAAUUCGCGGGUUCGGCAGGCACCGCCAGUACCCGAGGACCGUUCCGGCGACCGAGGUAUCCAAGGUAUACCAAGGUUGCGCGCCGCGCCCUCAUCGUUCUCCUCAACCAUCACCAAUACAGCGCAUGGCGGCUCGACUCCCGGCCCGGAUAGUGUUCAGGCUUCGCGGUCAGAACGACUUAUCCUUCCAGCUAAGUGUGGGGCAUGCGUUCAACAUGACAAGAGGGCCGUCAACGAUCGGUCCUUAAUCGACACAAGCGGGGAUAGAUAGGCACCCAAGACCUCCAUGUCUUGUUACUUCUCUAUCAUCGUCCCGCCCGGUCUCCAAUUAUUCAUCCUCAUCACUUGGUUACUUCCAUGAUAGCAUAUAUAGCCAACCUUUUCAGGUGUCCACCUAUUUCGCUCAGGUGACAGGACAUCACCUGGCUUCUACCGGUCUAAGCAUAGCUAAGCAUUUAGAUUCGAUCCUGAAUCUACAUAGGGUUAUAGGUAUAUUUGCUGGACAAGGAGUGUUUAUGCAACAAGGGUUUCACCCAACUCCUAUACUUAAUGCAACAAUACAUAUAUAACAUAUAUUCUCAAUUGCAUUCAAAAGUAGUGGGAGACUUAUAAUGCUCCGGGGCUUGCCUGGGAUCAACACGGAGUCAGUUCAAUUAGUGGCUCCAUCUUGGUGACAUCUUAGGUCACAACACUUGUUUAGUCCUUCCACCUUCAGGAUGGGUCCACCCAACACCGUCUUCGGGUUUGUUCCCACACCGAGACCUUCACGUGAUACAUCUACCGCACCUAGAUGAGAUGCAAGAUGCAAGUGCAUGAAUAUGCGGAAUAGUGACACAACAUGCAUUACAUAAAAGUAUGCAAGACACAUGCCUCUAAGUUAUUUAACUAACAUCACACAACCAAAUAUUUAGAAAACAUAUCAAUAAUGACACGAGUUUUACAAGGUUACAAGUGUAUGACUUAAUCACCAUUAAAGACAUGAAUCACAGUUUGCACACAACAAGUAAAGCAAUCAAGCAUUCAUGCAUUUUCAGCAAUUUUGGACAUACAUGCAACAACUCAGUAAAUAAAUCAUAACUGGAGUUACACAACUCCAAAAACUAUGCAAUAGGACAUUCUGGAAAGAUUAUCAAAUUGUAUACAAUUCAUAUUUAAUCACAUUAGCAUGAUUAGCAAGUUAACUAAGUCAAACAUGCAUAACCAUACAAUCUGGUCCAGGAAUUUCCAGAGAACAAGCAUUUUAAAGGAUGAAAUUCAUACUACUGUAACUCACAAACCACUUAGCCAAAUGAUAUGAAACUUUACCACAAGAUAUAUUAAUAAGUUAGCUACAUCUUUUAUAUGUACAUGUUUCACAGCAAACAUUAUUUAUAUCAUGGAAUUAAUUGCAUAAAUAAAACUGCUCAUGCUGUUCAAACGAUAGAGGUACAAUUACAAACAGAAAACUAACAGGUAAUUCAAAGCAGCAUAACUGGAGUUGUAGACCUCCAGAAAACAUAAUUCUUAUAUUUUUAGAAAGCUUAUAAAGUUACCUACAACUUUCUUAUUAUCAUCUAAAUAUGAAUCUACAGUUAACAAGGUCAAUUAAUCCCAUGAAGAUAUCUCUGUCCAAAACACAGACAGAAUCUGUCAUGCUUCAUUAAACACCCAUAACUUGAGUUUCACAUGUCCAUAAAUUAUGGUUAUAUACUUUCUAGAAACCUUAAUUAAUUGUGAACAACUUUGUUAUAAACAUGUACAGCUAAAUCUACAACUAAAAAGGUCUUACAUUACAAACAAUGCAACCCUGUCUGGGUUUAGACAGAAACUGGAACAGUAAUUUAAACCGCUAUAACUAAACAUGUGCUUAACCAAAAAUUGUGCUAUUUACCUUUCUGGAGAGCUUAUGAAAAGUACUAAAACUUAUAUAUUUUCAUCCAGGCAAGAUUCACAACUUAACUGAGCCAAACAAUACAAACAUGCAGACCCACUCAGAAUAUGAGCAAAGCAACACAGGGCAUUUGUUAUUUUUAUAACUCUUAAUCUAUCAAUACUAAAUCCAUGAAACAAAUGCCAGACAUCAAAUAUCAUAUGAAAAGCAUGUCACAAUAUUUUCACAUUUAUUCGAGCAAUACUACAGCAUUUAUGAAAAAGACAAAUAUAACAAGCAAUUAAAACCUAACUGCAUAAAUCUAUUUUUAUGACUAAAACGUCAAACUAAACCAUGCCAUAUUAUAGAUCUACUGCAUAGAGAAUUUCACAAGGAUUCCAAAAAGUCCACAUUUGCUAUUUUACGAUUUUUCUACAAUUUACUAUGCAUUUCCAAAGUUGAUGCACGAAAUCUGCAAAAACAAAAGAUAAAGGAAAACGACUUUGCACCGGGAGCCCUGAAAUUUCCACGAAUCAACCGCAGUCCAAAUGCACUAUUCAUCUGAGUCUGUGGUUCGCAUCUGGAACCCUGAGUUGUUUCUUAUUCUAACCCGAGGUCCCUAGUCGCCCAAAAACACAGUACCUCGCCGGAGCUUUCUGCUCCGGGCCAGCUAAGGCUUCGCCGGCGACGAUGGAAGGGUGGGGAAGCACCAAGAGGCUUGCCCGCAUCCUCCACACCACUCAGCUCGGCCCGAGCCACUCUCAGACGGCCUGGCCAUGAAGGCCAUGAAGCUCCGCUUGCUGUCCAUGGCGGACAGCGGCACCAGAGCGAGGAGAGAGGCAAGGGAGCGGAUGAGGGAGCUGGGCGUCCACAACAGAAGGGUGGGGAGCGCUCUCUGGCUUCACAGACCGCAAGAGGGCAGCAGGGGUUCAUCAAAUGGAGGUGGGGGCGCUGUGCAUGGUGGACACGCCCAGGACACGCGUUUCCCUUUGACACAUUUCGCCGAGCACGUGGCGCGCGUCGGAGUAGGCAAGGUAGGAGGCGAUUUUGGGCUUCUUCCGGGCCGAUUUGGACCUUGGGCCAAAAAGGAAGUUUGCUCACGUCGGCCUGCUCUCCAACUUUGAUUAAGGGUGCUCAGUCAUUAGACCAACAGAUUAGGAGAUAACUUAAUGCCAAGUCACGAGUGUCAACUUAUUGACGGUGAUUAGCAAAACCAAGAAUUGAUGGUCCAAACCAUGUCAAACAUGAUGCAACUUUUUACAUGACCUUCUCCAAGUAAUUGUCCACCACUUUUAUUCUUGGACCAACUUGAGUUGCUCAACAAAAACACGAGAACGCGGCAUGCCAACGGGUUGACGCCCGUUUGGCGAUAAAAUAAUCAUUUGCUGUUUUGGGAGCUACUUUUAGAUAUCCAAAUGAACUUCCAAUUUGAUGAUACUUGAUCCAUUGCUUUCAUCAGGAAGAGUACUCCAACUCAUAUUAAGGAAUCUAAUUGAGUUACCAUAUGAAUUUGCAUAAUAAAACGUCACGAAGGAGCUAACUCACUGCUGUCCUCCUAGGGACUUACAACUAUUUCUCAGGGCUGAAAAACAGCAGCUGAUUCGAACUUCGAGCCUCUGUUUGUACUGUUCGCAGGCUGAUUUGGUUCUUGACCUUUGAAUAAAGUUUCUUCUACAGAAGCAAAACCACAACUUUCAUUUAGGGUGAAACCUCAUAACUGCAACCGAAGUCAAUCUUUCACCUUGGUCAAAGCAGUAACCCGAUAAAGCUCCAAAUAGGGUUUUAGGCCAAUUCAAGCAUUUUCAUGACAUAAGCUCAACAUGAACCCUUCAUGACUUUUGUUGUAUAAUUCAUCUAGUGCCAUAUGAACAUGUUUUCAAGGGUUGUUUGAUGACCCAUGAUUCUAUUUCCUUAAUAGAGCCAUUCCGGCAAGGAUAUAACUUAUCAUUUCAUGUGACUUCUUGAUUCCAAACUUCACCAAACUUUUCCAGAGACCAACAUAGAUUGGGAUGGAUAUAAGACACAUGAAAAAGGUUCCAUUAGCAUCAUCCACGCAUACCUUUGAAAAAGGGCCUAUAUAUAAGUAAAGGUGCAUCAUCCAAAUCCAAGUUAGGGCUUACUUUCAUAGAUUGACUUUGACCUCUUUAUUACCACUGAACUUUUCAUGUUUGAGCUCAAACCUAGUACUUAGCAAGUGACAAACACCUAGGGUGUUACAUCCUUCCCCCCUUAAAAGAAUCUCGUCCCGAGAUUCGGUGCAAAAGACUUUCAAGGGAAGAGAACAAUGUCACACAUUUUCCAACAUUAGCGAUAGCAGUGGGCUACUUUGCUUGGAACAUCAGAGAAGCAAACUUGGUCCAAACAUUUUAUGAUACUUGCUCUUCAUAGUAAACCUUUAUCUAGAGAAUCUCCUCUUUUGUUUGACUUCAGUGAAGCAUUGUUACUUUGGGAGGAAUCCAAGACAAACUGUUCCAUGUACUUUGUUCCUGGUGUAUAAACAGUGGUUUAGAGCAUAAGGAGCUACUUGUACCAUUAGCUUCUUUAGUGAAACUAAUGCAAGCCAUACGAACUUCACACCACUUCACAAGCUUCUAAGGGUUGCGCAUUAUAGUGAUUCCAGGCUCAUUCACAAGAUUUGAAAAGCAGUCCUCUACCAAAAUGGUUGGAUUGUAACUUUCCAUGCAUGCAGUUCUCUUUCUCUAAUGACAACAUUGUACUGACCACUCGAUUAAGAGAACAGUGAAUGUGAUAACUGACUCUGUUGGUUUCAUGCCUUCCAUGAUCAUUUACUUUAAUGGGAUUCUUGUAUCCAAACAACAACAGUUAUCUGGGUUGAAUCAGAUGUAACUUCUUGGGUAACACAUAGAAGGUAACCAAGGCAUGUAAGAAUUGGAUAACCACUACUGACAAAGGAUGAUAGUGGGGCCUAUAGAUCUCCAACUGUUGCAAGUGUUCAACCAACUAAAGAAAUAGCAUACCACCAGUAGGUUAAGCAUGACCUUUCUUCAUGAUGCAGUUACAUAAGAGUUAGGUUGACUUGUACCAUAGCAAAACCAAUCAAGUGGAACUACUUUUGCAUUUGAGGCUUCUUUUUAGGAUCAGUCGGUAGCUCUGAUAUUAACAAUCUAUUGAUUGACACCUUUCAAAUUGUAUUUGACUCACAUUGGCACAAAUGGGUACAAAGAAUCUUAUUUCAGCAUAUAAGCAUUAUGUACGCAGCAAAACAUUGCCCAUACUGUAAUCCAUGGCACCAAAACAAACACCACUCACAUUUCUAUGAAAUUUGGUAGAAUUACAGAUCCAUGAGUCUUCCAACCUUUGAUCAAAAUUCAGCUCAAACGGGCACCAUUUGUGUAGGUAGAACAUAUACAUACUAAACUUGUUCGAUGCUGAAACGACAGUGUUCCGGACUGACAAGACAUCUCUCAACUCUAAAGAUUGAUUCACAGUUUGAUGAAAUAUAUCCUUCAUGGCUAUAAAUCCAUCGUUUCCUUGCUUGAGAUUAGCCUUGUUACUAGCAACCAAUCAAUUGGCUCUCAGCACUAAAAUUUCCAAAGCUCCACUCUUAACUACAACAAUUGUGGUUGACGCUUAACCAUCAGUCACCCCCAAAACCAGGAGAUAAGGAUUCAUGCUAAAGAUGGUUGACUGUAGCUGUAUGACCAUGAUGCACAUAAAGAGCAAGACCUAGGAAAACUAGAGCAUAAGCACAAUGGUGAUGAUCGAUGCUUGUUCAACAGAUAACUUCUCCAACAUUAAGUGUCGUGCGUCCUUUUGGUUCAGCGUGGAUGACCCAUGUUGCUCAUUAAAUGGCCAUCAUCAUUGCAGGGAUAGUUAAAUAGUGUCACUUGUCUACCACCUCUUGCAGUCUGUCAAUGUUUAUGUCACUGACCCAUUCUUCAAAGGUAAUCCUCUUUGUAACUUCAUAGGAAGUUCACUUACUCGUGCAUGAAGUAAGGAUCUUUUGAUCAAAUCUAGAUAGAUAAUUAAGGACAAACUCAUGAUGAGUUGACACAUUGGUGUAGUUCUAUAAUGGAUCAUGGCUAGCAACAACGAUACCAGCGCGUGCCGAGCAGCACAACCAUGUGUCGGCCGCCACAAGGGGCUCUCGGUUUCGUCACGGCACCAUCAAUCAUUAACCAAGACACCAUUACCGAACAUACAAUCCAAAAGAAAUCUCUCAUGGCAAAAAUUGGGUUGCAUAGCAGCGAGCACUUUGCAAAAGAGGGGGUAUCAACUGAGAUCGUCAUGAGAUUAGAGGUCCACAAGGAGGUGAUCUAAAGAUUAAACAUAGUACUAGAGAACAUAGAUCACAUGAGAUUAGGACAGAUAAACACCCAGAGACUCAAGAGAGUUGGAGAUAAAACGAUUGAGAUUUGAAAGAUUGAGUCAAUACACAGAUUAGGGGACGGAUACACAGCAUUCAAGAGCUAACAACCAUGCACAAACUCAAGCUAUUUAUCAUUGGAAUCUACUUGGAGAUAACCAUGAGAUUAAAGUGACAUGAGUGUUAUUCUAAGAUAAGGCUCUUCAACACUCGCAUGCUUACUAAGGACAAAAAGGUCACAACUACGACACUACCUGAUUAACAACACAUCUAUUCGUGCAUCAUGGUUUUAAGCAAACAUGUGAGAACAUCAAUCACAAUAUCUCCAACAAUCAUUACUAAGCACAAAAUUUGCAGAUAACAAGUAGUCAUCUAAAGCAACACUAGUACACAUGAACAUACAAAACAUGAUGGUAAGGUGUUUUUAUAUUUCACUUUCUUUUACUAGAAAGGUGUAUGUUUCUUCUCCAAUCGUGAAAACAAAUUUUAACCUAUGUUUAAAGGACUAAUUAUCUUAGAGAUGUGCAUCAUACUGACAGGGUGCACAGAUCAACCACAACACGGGCAAAACAAAGCUAGUCACACCUUAUCUUCAAUUAUAGCUAUUCAAGCAACAUGGAGCAAAACAUUUCAUCUAACUCCACACAAGCAAGAUGACACCACAUUGAUUCAUAAGUUACUUAUUACUAGAACAAGGGUGAGAUAAGCAUAGUUAUACAUAAGGCAACAAUCAUGAUGAUGCAUGCUUCGUCCUAUUCGUCCUCACAAAAUUGCCAGCCUAAGGUGGCAAUCACGUUCUAUGUCGGUGGCAUAACACGUACACUCUCGUCAUUUAGCUAUUCGUAAUAUUCAAUUUACGCAUCCGUGGUUAGUGUACCUGCAGAAAAUUCAUUUCAGCCCACCCACAGUAUGAAACAUGCAGUACAAGAUUUAAAAGCUAUGCGCUCCACACACGUGUAUCCCAUACCCGUAUGUGUAGUGCUACUACCCACAUCAUCGUCCUAGUGACGGCAUCGCCUCUAAGGACGGAAUCACCCAUCAUGCGAUACCUUUUCAUAAGCACAUGUAAAAUGUGCACAUGAUCCAGUACCAAAAGCACUUCCCUAGAUCGGCGGUGUAUCCGAUCAUACUCUCACAACUCACACUUACCGAGGCGUAGAGGAAGAAAUGAUCCAUACAUUACCAUUCAAAUGAAUGGCACUCAUACUAUUGCACGCCGUAUGAGCAACGAAACAGAAAUAUGAUGCAGAAACCCCCAAGUUAGUAAUUAAAUAAGCCACCUAAGGGUCCUUAUUUGGGCAUAAAGGAAAUGACCACUGGCAUACUUAGAUAAAAUCAUUUCAGAUUUGAACACACCUAUAUCUAUAAUAGCUAUAAGUUGUCAAAAAAUGAUUUUAUAAAACAAAAUAUUUUGUUUUAAAUACACAUAUGACAAGUUUAAUGUUGAACCUGGCUCUGAUACCAGCUGUAACAGAACCGCCCAAUUUACAAGAGAUCAACUACGAAAAACUCCCGCCAAAGCAGUUGCUUUACCGUAAUCGAACUCUCAUAAACCCGGUAGUCCGUGAAAUCACGAGGGAUUUCAAACCAACCAACAUACCAGCCAAGAUCGUAGUGAUUCAACAUAACAAGUCACAUGUUACAUCCAUUUCACAAAUAGUUUGACAUACAUCUGAGUUCAAUAUAGUUAUUACAACUUAAGUUGAAAAGUAGCGGAAGCAAAGUAAUUUGAAACUAAUAUUGCCCACAUUUCAAAUACAUGCCAGUAUCCAGGUCAACUCCAGCAAAAGCAACAUAGAUGAGGUAACUAAGAAGGAUCAUGCCCAUGAUCUUACUCCUCUAAUAUGGUAGGAUUCAUCCAACUCUUGUAGUAGCCAUGAUACAUCACAACCUGCAACAAGUGGGAAUAAACCCUGAGUACGAGAAGGUACUCAGCUAGACUUACCCGUCAUAAACCAGAAAUAAUAUGACACCAAGGAGUAUGCAAGGAUUUAUUGGUGGGGCUAGCUUGACAACACUUUUUUGCAUAAAAAGCUUAGGUUACAGGUAAGUAACUUUUCAGGUAUUUAGCUCAAGUUAAUAAUCAUUACCUGUCAUCUAUAUUAGCACCUGUACUAGAGCAAUCACUUGAUUAAGAUACAACAGUAGUAUCCAUAUUAGAGGUAGCAUUUCCAUCAUUAUCAUCAUACCAUAACCAUCCAAGUGUUCCAUAAACAUUACUACGAGGACGUGGCUCAAGUCAAGUGCUCACUAUCCAGGAGCGAUGGCGAUUCGAAUCGAUUUCUGACUAGCUGGCGAGUUAUUCCCCACACAAACCACACUCACCGGCCAAAGUGAGCUACAGGUCACCAUAUUGCACUAUCGAGGACCAAUUCUUGGGUUCGGCAGGCACCGCCAGUACCCGAGGACCGUUCCGGCGACCGAGGUAUCCAAGGUAUACCAAGGUUGCGCGCCGCGCCCUCGUCGUUCUCCUCAACCAUCACCAAUACAGCGCAUGGCGGCUCGACUCCCGGCCCGGAUAGUGUUCAGGCUUCACGGUCGGAACGACUUAUCCUUCCAGCUAAGUGUGGGGCAUGCGUUCAACAUGACAAGAGGGCCGUCAACGAUCGGUCCUUAAUCGACACAAGCGGGGAUAGAUAGGCACCCAAGACCUCCAUGUCUUGUUACUUCUCUAUCAUCGUCCCGCCCGGUCUCCAAUUAUUCAUCCUCAUCACUUGGUUACUUCCAUGAUAGCAUAUAUAGCCAACCUUUUCAGGUGUCCACCUAUUUCGCUCAGGUGACAGGACAUCACCUGGCUUCUACCGGUCUAAGCAUAGCUAAGCAUUUAGAUUCGAUCCUGAAUCUACAUAGGGUUAUAGGUAUAUUUGCUGGACAAGGAGUGUUUAUGCAACAAGGGUUUCACCCAACUCCUAUACUUAAUGCAACAAUACAUAUAUAACAUAUAUUCUCAAUUGCAUUCAAAAGUAGUGGGAGACUUAUAAUGCUCCGGGGCUUGCCUGGGAUCAACACGGAGUCAGUUCAAUUAGUGGCUCCAUCUUGGUGACAUCUUAGGUCACAACACUUGUUUAGUCCUUCCACCUUCAGGAUGGGUCCACCCAACACCGUCUUCGGGUUUGUUCCCACACCGAGACCUUCACGUGAUACAUCUACCGCACCUAGAUGAGAUGCAAGAUGCAAGUGCAUGAAUAUGCGGAAUAGUGACACAACAUGCAUUACAUAAAAGUAUGCAAGACACAUGCCUCUAAGUUAUUUAACUAACAUCACACAACCAAAUAUUUAGAAAACAUAUCAAUAAUGACACGAGUUUUACAAGGUUACAAGUGUAUGACUUAAUCACCAUUAAAGACAUGAAUCACAGUUUGCACACAACAAGUAAAGCAAUCAAGCAUUCAUGCAUUUUCAGCAAUUUUGGACAUACAUGCAACAACUCAGUAAAUAAAUCAUAACUGGAGUUACACAACUCCAAAAACUAUGCAAUAGGACAUUCUGGAAAGAUUAUCAAAUUGUAUACAAUUCAUAUUUAAUCACAUUAGCAUGAUUAGCAAGUUAACUAAGUCAAACAUGCAUAACCAUACAAUCUGGUCCAGGAAUUUCCAGAGAACAAGCAUUUUAAAGGAUGAAAUUCAUACUACUGUAACUCACAAACCACUUAGCCAAAUGAUAUGAAACUUUACCACAAGAUAUAUUAAUAAGUUAGCUACAUCUUUUAUAUGUACAUGUUUCACAGCAAACAUUAUUUAUAUCAUGGAAUUAAUUGCAUAAAUAAAACUGCUCAUGCUGUUCAAACGAUAGAGGUACAAUUACAAACAGAAAACUAACAGGUAAUUCAAAGCAGCAUAACUGGAGUUGUAGACCUCCAGAAAACAUAAUUCUUAUAUUUUUAGAAAGCUUAUAAAGUUACCUACAACUUUCUUAUUAUCAUCUAAAUAUGAAUCUACAGUUAACAAGGUCAAUUAAUCCCAUGAAGAUAUCUCUGUCCAAAACACAGACAGAAUCUGUCAUGCUUCAUUAAACACCCAUAACUUGAGUUUCACAUGUCCAUAAAUUAUGGUUAUAUACUUUCUAGAAACCUUAAUUAAUUGUGAACAACUUUGUUAUAAACAUGUACAGCUAAAUCUACAACUAAAAAGGUCUUACAUUACAAACAAUGCAACCCUGUCUGGGUUUAGACAGAAACUGGAACAGUACUUUAAACCGCUAUAACUAAACAUGUGCUUAACCAAAAAUUGUGCUAUUUACCUUUCUGGAGAGCUUAUGAAAAGUACUAAAACUUAUAUAUUUUCAUCUAGGCAAGAUUCACAACUUAACUGAGCCAAACAAUACAAACAUGCAGACCCACUCAGAAUAUGAGCAAAGCAACACAGGGCAUUUGUUAUUUUUAUAACUCUUAAUCUAUCAAUCCUAAAUCCAUGAAACAAAUGCCAGACAUCAAAUAUCAUAUGAAAAGCAUGUCACAAUAUUUUCACAUUUAUUCGAGCAAUACUACAGCAUUUAUGAAAAAGACAAAUAUAACAAGCAAUUAAAACCUAACUGCAUAAAUCUAUUUUUAUGACUAAAACGUCAAACUAAACCAUGCCAUAUUAUAGAUCUACUGCAUAGAUAAUUUCACAAGGAUUCCAAAAAGUCCACAUUUGCUAUUUUACGAUUUUUCUACAAUUUACUAUGCAUUUCCAAAGUUGAUGCACGAAAUCUGCAAAAACAAAAGAUAAAGGAAAACGACUUUGCACCGGGAGCCCUGAAAUUUCCACGAAUCAACCGCAGUCCAAAUGCACUAUUCAUCUGAGUCUGUGGUUCGCAUCUGGAACCCUGAGUUGUUUCUUAUUAUAACCCGAGGUCCCUAGUCGCCCAAAAACACAGUACCUCGCCGGAGCUUUCUGCUCCGGGCCAGCUAAGGCUUCGCCGGCGACGAUGGAAGGGUGGGGAAGCACCAAGAGGCUUGCCCGCAUCCUCCACACCACUCAGCUCGGCCCGAGCCACUCUCAGACGGCCUGGCCAUGAAGGCCAUGAAGCUCCGCUUGCUGUCCAUGGCGGACAGCGGCACCAGAGCGAGGAGAGAGGCAAGGGAGCGGAUGAGGGAGCUGGGCGUCCACAACAGAAGGGUGGGGAGCGCUCUCUGGCUUCACAGACCGCAAGAGGGCAGCAGGGGUUCAUCAAAUGGAGGUGGGGGCGCUGUGCAUGGUGGACACGCCCAGGACACGCGUUUCCCUUUGACACAUUUCGCCGAGCACGUGGCGCGCGUCGGAGUAGGCAAGGUGGGAGGCGAUUUUGGGCUUCUUCCGGGCCGAUUUGGACCUUGGGCCAAAAAGGAAGUUUGCUCACGUCGGCCUGCUCUCCAACUUUGAUUAAGGGUGCUCAGUCAUUAGACCAACAGAUUAGGAGAUAACUUAAUGCCAAGUCACGGGUGUCAACUUAUUGACGGUGAUUAGCAAAACCAAGAAUUGAUGGUCCAAACCAUGUCAAACAUGAUGCAACUUUUUACAUGACCUUCUCCAAGUAAUUGUCCACCACUUUUAUUCUUGGACCAACUUGAGUUGCUCAACAAAAACACGAGAACGCGGCAUGCCAACGGGUUGACGCCCGUUUGGCGAUAAAAUAAUCAUUUGCUGUUUUGGGAGCUACUUUUAGAUAUCCAAAUGAACUUCCAAUUUGAUGAUACUUGAUCCAUUGCUUUCAUCAGGAAGAGUACUCCAACUCAUAUUAAGGAAUCUAAUUGAGUUACCAUAUGAAUUUGCAUAAUAAAACGUCACGAAGGAGCUAACUCACUGCUGUCCUUCUAGGGACUUAGAACUAUUUCUCAGGGCUGAAAAACAGCAGCUGAUUCGAACUUCGAGCCUCUGUUUGAACUGUUUGCAGGCUGAUUUGGUUCUUGACCUUUGAAUAAAGCUUCUUCUACAGAAGCAAAACCACAACUUUCAUUUAUGGUCAAACCUCAUAACUGCAACCGAAGUCAAUCUUUCACCUUGGUCAAAGCAGUAACCCGAUAAAGCUCCAAAUAGGGUUUUAGGCCAAUUCAAGCAUUUUCAUGACAUAAGCUCAACAUGAACCCUUCAUGACUUUUGUUGUAUAAUUCAUCUAGUGCCAUAUGAACAUGUUUUCAAGGGUUGUUUGAUGACCCAUGAUUCUAUUUCCUUAAUAGAGCCAUUCUGGCAAGGAUAUAACUUAUCAUUUCAUGUGACUUCUUGAUUCCAAACUUCACCAAACUUUUCCAGAGACCAACAUAGAUUGGGAUGGAUAUAAGACACAUGAAAAAGGUUCCAUUAGCAUCAUCCACACAUACCUUUGAAAAAGGGCCUAUAUAUAAGUAAAGGUGCAUCAUCCAAAUCCAAGUUAGGGCUUACUUUCAUAGAUUGACUUUCACCUCUUUAUUACCACUUAACUUUUCAUGUUUGAGCUCAAACCUAGUACUUAGCAAGUGACAAACACCUGGGGUGUUACAGUUGUAGUAGUAGUAGUUGUUGUUGUUGAUGUAGUUCACAUCCUCAAGCAUCUCAGGGCAGUGGUUGCCUGAGUGUCCAGUAUCUCCACACUCCUCACAAGUCAUGUGAGAGUCGUAGAUGUGCAUCACUUCAUUCUUAUCUCCAGCUUUAUCAUCGAGCUUCUUCAUGAGCAGGUCUAGCUUUGCAGACAGCAUGUCUACCUCCUUGAGCUGAUGCAUACCUCCACCUCUCUUGCGUGUCUGGGUCCUCUCUUCAUUCCAGCUUUGGUUGGACGCCAUCUUCUCCACAAGAGCUAUGGCUUGUGGUAUAGUAAGUGAUAAGAAUGCUCCUCCAGCUGCAGCAUCCAUGGUUUCUCGGGCACUGUUGCCGAGCCCAUGAUAAAACGUCUGCAUUAAUAGCCAACUCUCCAUUCCAUGAUGCGGACAUUCUAGGAUGUAGUCUUGAAAGCGCUCCCAUGCUUCUGGAACAGAUUCAUCAUUUUGUUGCUGAAAACUUGUAAUCUUCCCACGGAGAGCAUUGGUCUUGCCCAUGGGAAAGAACUUUGCCAGGAAGUUUGUUGAGCAGAGUGCCCACGUAGUAUUCUUCUCCUUUGUAGCGUAGAACCACUGCUUCGCUCUCCCUGAUAGUGAGAAUGGGAAGAGGCGAAGUAGUAUAGCAUCUUUGGAAACUCCUGAUAUGGUGAAUGUGUUGCAAAUCUCUAGCACUAGCAUCUUCGUGUGCCUUCCCACAGAACUAGUUGGAUUGCACCAUGUUGAUAAGUCCAGGCUUAAGCUCAAAGUUGCCAUCGAUCUCUGCAGCAGGUCCAGUGCGGAUGUAGUCCGUAGUGGGAGCUGAGAACUCGCGGAUUGAUUUGUUCGCCAUGGCCUCGAACUCUGAAGACAAGUUCCGGUGAUCUUCUUGAUUGGAUGAAGCUUCUUACUGAAGGAAACCAAUCGAAGAUUGACUCCUUCUAGUUCUAAUCCUAUAUAGCUAUGCUAAUCUAGAUAUCUAAUUGAUGUGGUGGCUCUAAUCUUGAUUAGGGGCUUAUUCUCCCUUGAAGAACAAUGAAUUAGGGUUGAGAGGCUCUCUCCUCCAGGGGCUAGGGGGUCUGGUUUUAUAGUCCCUUUAAGUGAAUAUGGGCCGUUGGAUCAAACCGACAUAGAUUGUAUGGUUUAGAUUCAUCCUUUAGGUCGGUGGAGAUCUCCCACGAAGCAGAGUCCUGAUUGGACUCAGGGAGAGGGCGAGCGCCCAGGGCAAUAGGGCGGGCGCCCUGCCUCUGGCCCCGUUUCGUCUCCGCUUCGGUCUCGUGGCUUCUGGAGUCUUCUAGAUGUAAGAUAAUUGUGCGGCACGUUAAUAUCUCUAUGUAAUCCCGACGUGUGGGCCUUUCUUCUGUAUUUCCUGAUAACCCCCUGCAGAAAUAGACAAACACCAAAACUCGUGAAAUUCUGUCAGAUAAAACCCUAAGUCUAGAUGUUGAUUUCAUUUGGAUCCUUUUCUUUAUUUAUUUAAUAAUUAAAUUUGAUACUUAAGGACCGUCAACAAAGUACACAAGCAUUCAAACAAGGACUGUCCUCCAGAUUAGAGUGAACUAUUCUGACUCAAGACUUACCCAUAUUACCAUUAACCAUGGAGCUUAUAGCUAUCACUUAGGUCUUGGGCAGUUGAAAGAUAGAACAGUUAAGUCGAGCACUAUGCUACUCACCCUUUGAUCAACUAUUAUUCUAGAGUUUUGCAAGAUUUUCAAAUAAAACAUAGAGUUUCCUUGUAUGACACUUUCUAGUCUCUCAUAUGUGGUAUUUUUGGAUCCUCUCUAAGGCAAGUGAUUAUGUCUUCUCUUUGCUCUCAGAAUAUAUGGUAUUUGUAGGACUAAGGCAUAGUUACCUUCUCUCUCUCACCCUACUUCUAAUUAGCUUAUGUAGAGCUCAUAGGUGGGAAAGACAAUUCAAACCUACUUACAUGUAUUGCAUAGUUAAACUGUGGAUCCAGAGAAACUAAUUAUACAAUCAAGUCAUAUGUGCAUGUGAGUGAUGUGAAGUGAUAAGAAUGAAAGUGGUUAUGAGGGGUGAUAACUGAUGGUGAAUAUCUAAUUCUACAAUUGCUCCUUGGGGAUAACAUACCUCCCUAAUCUGAGAAUAUGGACUUGGCUGUCUUUCUUUUGCAUUGAGACUUUUGUCCUCUUUCUUUCUUUUAUCUCUUUUUUAAGAUCAGCCAUCCCUUUUUAAUGCACUAAUAACAACAGGGAGUAUCAACUAAAAUAACUGGAGCUUUAUUGGAUAAGUAGAAUAAGACAUAAUGGCAAUGGAUAUUUUUGGGUAUUCCCUCCUAGUGUAGGAGUAGAACAUUUUUGAAGUGGAUGUGGAAUGUGUGUGGGUGGAUAAAGUAAUGUGUACUCCGAGGAUAGGAGCAGCAUAAGUGCGUGUCUCCAGGAUAUAAACAACAUAGAGUGUAGUGCGUAUAUGUGGUUGGUACUUCUAGGAAACAGAAGUAGCACAUAGUGAAUGUGGUGGAUGUAAGUGGUUGUGUACUUCUGAGGACAAAAGUAGCUAAGAUCAAUGGAUGGAGAGCACAAAAUAUUGACUUUAACUGCAUGACUAGUUCCUUAGGGUCUACACAGCUUAACUACCCUCAAUGCUUAUAGGUUGAAAUAUAGGUGGAGGUUUUCCUAAUCUAGCAAGCAUGAGUAUUUGGUUGUGGUAGGAAAUUAAACUCUCAUCAUAAGGGAACACAUCAUGUAGCAAUAUAGGAUUUUCAAAAUAAAAUUCUCCAGAACUCUAGCAUCUCUAGGAGCAAGAUUAAUAGCAGCUCAAGACCUUCCCAUAUCAUAUCCCUCAACCACCUAGACUUUGAUCAAGCAUUUGCUACCCACAAGUUUUAGGCUCAGAGCAAAAUCUUAAGUCUAAACAGUUGUGUCUAAAACACAGCAGAGUACAAGGUAGAAAACUAUAUACUUGCAAGGAAUUACGGUAGAGCAACUAUUCAUCAUCUCCAUAUAAGAGUUUAUUCUAGAGUUUCAUUUUAACAGAUUCAUUAAGAUCUCUCCAUAGCUAACAGAAUUAAUUAUGAAAGAUAAAAUAUUUAUUGAGUUUCUAAGAUUAUUCAUCUUUUUAUCUUGUCAUAACGCAAUAGGAAUAGAUAAAUAAAUGAGUAAGUAAGAGAUACUUAGCUCAAUAUACGGGGGUUGCUCUCCCCAAAGCUGGAUGUUGACAUAGUUGUUGACACUUGCUAACACCACUUGAAUACUAGGUUGUCAUCCCCAGCAUGGCACUAGAGUGUACUAUGGUAUUUAUACGCACACAGAAAAAUCCGCAAGCGCACGGAUACCGUUGUAGCUUUUACCCGGUUAAAGGUUUUAUCGUAUCCACAGGGAAACGAGAGAACUGAUCUAUGCUCUAACUUAACCUAGAUAGAUAGGUAGGUGUAAAUUGGAAAGAUGGUAGAAUUGAAUAAGAACAAUAUUAAAGGUAGGAUAACAAUGGGUGAUAAUAUGGGAAUAGAGAGUAGAGCAAUCUAGUAUAUGGGCGAUGGUAGGAGAAUAGAGAGGAUAACUAUGGUUUCUCUACUUCAAAGGGGUAUGUCUAUGUCUGGGAUGAACCACGUGAUAAGAAUACACCACAAAGGAUGCUUAUCCAUAGGCCGAUAAACUCUACCAUUCCUGCUAACGGGAGGUGGACUACAGAGGACCAACGUAGCUGUCACAUACGCGGCCUACCACACGAUCUGGCUAGACAGGGGAUAUCCACAUGUAAUCUAGGUCUAAGCACCACGCUUACACCUAUACUACAACUCUAACCUAUAGUGUCCUCAAAAGAGUUGUGAACCAGAACAUAUAUGAAUAGUAAUUGCAUAAUGAAAUAGAAGUAGAUUACCAGAGUCAUCCCAUGAGCAAGCUUGAUUAGAGCUUGAUCAUGGCGAAGUACAACCGGAGGAAAAACCGACAGGCCGGCGUCUCCUCCAAUCCUCCCUCGCUCUCCAUCUCGCUACUAUCUAGAUCUACUCUAGUUUAGAGAAGAGAGGAGAGCUCUCAUCUCCAAACCCUAGCUUUUGCUCUAUCUAUGAAUAAUGAAUAGGGAUCAAGGGGUGCCUCCUCCAGGGGCCAGGGGCCCUGCUUAUAUAGCCCUUCCAAAUGAAUGUGGGCCGUCGGAUCAAACCAACCUUAAUCGCAUGGUUUUCCUUGAUCCACAAAGGCGGUGGAGCAUAAUCCUUAAAGCGGAGCCUGAUUGGUGGAAAAAGUAGGCCGGGCGCCCAAGGGGGCAGGGCGGGCGCCCUGCCCCCGGGCCCGCUCGGCCUCCUGUUCAUUCCCGUGGCUUCUGGAGUGUUCUAGAUGAUAGAAAAUUGCGCGGCACAUUAAUAUCUCUAUGUAAACCCGACGUGUGGGCCUUUCCUCCAUAUAUUCUGAUAACCCCCUACAGAAAUAGACAAACACCAAAACUUGUGGAAUUCUGUCAGAUAAAACCAUAAGUCUGGGUGUUCGUUGCAUUUGGAUCCUUUUCUUUAUUUAUUUGAUGGUUAAAUUUGAUACUUAAGGACCGUCAACAACUCCCCCAAGCUUACCUCUUGCUCGUCCCUGAGCAAGGAUGGACUUAAGAGUUUCUGCAGUGGUUUCAUGCCUUAAAGGUACACAUGCGUUCAAACAAGAUCUCAUCUUUGUGUUAGGGUAAACUGUUAAGACUUAAAACUUACUCAUUUUACCUUUCACCAUGGGGCUUGCAACCAUCACUUAUGUCUUGAGCAGUUAAAAGAUAGAAUGGUCAAGUCAAGCACCAUGUCUCUUGUUCUUUGAUCAUCUAUAGCUCUGGAGUUUUUUGCAAAUUUUUAAAAUAAAACUCAGAGAUUCCUUGUAUGACUCUCAAUUCUCUCUUUUGUGGUAUUUCUAGAUCCUUACCAAGGCAGUGACGGUAUAUGCCUUCUCUCAAAGUAUGUGGUAUUUGUGGUAUGAGGCAUAGUGACAUUGAAUUCUCUCUCAUCCUACUCUAAUAAGGCUUGAUAUCUGGAGCUCAUAGGUGGGAGAUAAAGUAUACAUACUUACAAGACAUUUAUUGCAUAGUCAAACCAUGGAUCCAGAAGAACAAGUCAAUAAGUCAAAUCAAAAUGUGCAUGUGUGGCGAAUGAAUGGUGUAGGGUGAUGAUGGUGAUAAUGGUGAAAACAAUGGUGAAAGUCUAAUUCUACGUUUGCUCUUUUAAGGGGAAUACAUACCUUUCUUGCACUUUGAAGCUUUUUGAGGAGAAUGAGAUGCUCUAUAUUUUAUUUUUCUUUUCUCUCAGGUGGGUAUCUUGUACCCCUAAUUCUACUGUCGGACACUUGUCCAUUUUUACCUCUCGUCUCAAUUUUCUUUUCUUCGAGGUUCCGGGC